UUCAACGUUUGCAAAAGAAGGACACUUCAGGGCCAUAUAUAUGUCCUGAAGCAUUUUGAAGAUUUUCUUAGACACAGUUUAGAGUUAUCUUUAACAAGAGUAUUCAAUUGUAAACGUUACCAAUCUAUAAGAUUAGAUGUGCCUUUUACAAGAAGCAACGGUGAUAACUUUCUGGCAGGAAUCUAUUUGAAAACUGAACUAAUCUGCUUUGCUGUUUCCACAGGAAGCACAUUUGAAGCUAAAGCACCGAUUGCUCAGAAAAGAAAUCAUUUCAGGAGUCAGAAAAGAAAUGCAAAGUUAUGAUGAGGCAAUUGCUUUCCUCGGAGAAUGGGGGCCUUACCAGAGGACAAUUUUCCUUUUCCUCAGUCUGACUGUUGUUCCAAAUGGAUACACAGCCCUUUCUAUGGUAUUUCUGGCAGAUAUUCCUCAGCAUCAUUGUCGUCUGCCUAACUCUUCAAAUGUGACGAUUGGAGAAACUUCCUUUCUUAAUCUAAGUUUGCUGCUACCUGUGGAAGAAGUGGGUGAUGGACAAAUGUACAGUAAAUGCACCAGAUACAAGACUCAAAUGAAAGACAGUUUAAAUGACACAAUGCCUGAAAUAGAGCCCUGUAUUGAUGGCUGGGUGUACAAUACAGACAGAUACACCUCUACAAUUGUCACUGAGUGGGACUUAGUGUGCGACAAUGGCUGGAAAGGACCAUUUACCACAUCAGUCUUUUUCCUGGGAAUAUUGUGUGGCUCGAUUAUUUCAGGACAACUUUCAGACAGGUAUGGAAGAAAAGUUGUUCUCUUUGGAGGCAUAGCCUUACAGACAAUCUUAAACUUAAUUCAGCUGACCUCUCAGAGUUGGGAAAUGUUCUGCGUGCUGUACUUCUUUGUUGGUGUAGGAGAUACCGCAAAUUAUGUAGCUGCUUUCGUUCUUGGAAUGGAACUCCUGGGAAAAUCCGAGAGGAUUGCUUACACAGCCCUUGGCAUGUGCACAUUUUAUGCCUUCGGUUACAUGCUUCUGCCACUUUGUGCAUAUUACAUCCGAGACUGGAGAAUGUUACUGCUCACUUUGACUCUCCCGGAGAUUCUAUAUGUCCCUCUUUGGCUGUAUAUACCUGAAUCUCCUAGAUGGUUGCUCACACAAAGUCGUGUGGAACAAGCUGAAGCUAUUUUGAAAGAUGCUGCUCGGAAAAAUGGCAUUACACAUCCUGGGGUAAUAUUUGAUGCAACAGACAGUAGUAUGGAUCCUUUGGACAGGAAUAGGCAUGAACACAAUUAUUUGGAUCUGAUUAUAACAGCUGACAUAAGGAAUGUCACAAUCCUUUCUUUCUUUCUCUGGAUGACUGGUACCAUUGGAUACUAUGGACUAUCCCUCAAUACUCCCAAUAUGCGUGGGGAUCCCUACAUCAACUGCUUUAUCUCUGCGGCCAGUGAACUCUUGGUAUAUGUGAUUGUCUGGUGGUUGAUGCAAACCUCACCUCGACGGAUCACCACUGCUUGUAUGUUCAUACUUAGCGGAGGUGUUCUCCUUCUGGUCCAGUUUGUUCCUUCAACUCUUCAAAUUGUGAUCACUCUAUUGUUGAUAAUUGGUAAAUCUGGUGCUACAGCGGUCUAUACAAUCAUCUACAUUUUCACAUCUGAAUUGUAUCCAACUGUGGUGAGGAAUAUGGGGCUUGGGGCAUGCUCCAUGGCUUCCAGAGUUGGCAGCAUCAUCUCCCCAUAUUUUGCAUAUCUUGUUACAUACAGUGAAAUAUUGGCCUUUGUGUUAAUGGGCAGUUUGAUGGUAACUGCUGGAUUAUUAAGCUUGUUGUUGCCUGAAACUCGUGACCAGCCUUUACCAGAGACAAUUCAGCAAAUGCAACCAAUGAGCUGCUGCUAUGGUUCAGUCAAAGGGCACUGCUGUAAGAUUUCCUCCUUCCAAACAACCGCACAGCAGACCAGCCAGUCCCAAGGUGAUAUCACUUCUUCGGACAUCUCAACAGCUGGACUAUAAUGUGAUCAGGAGUUAAUUCCCCAAAUGCAGGUCAGACCCGGCAGCUCUGGACUCAGCCUGGUAAACCUUCGCUGCACUCCCUCGAGAGGAAAAGCAUCCUUCCUCAGAAAAGGAGAACAAAACUGCACACAAUAUUCGAGGUGAGUUUCAACAUUGCUCUUGAACUGAAAAAAAGGGACAUGUAGGUGUCCUACACCGCUUCUCUUUUUUAAAACAUUGAUCGGAUGCUGCUUGUAGCUAAAAGAUAAAAACCUGCUGUAACAUCGACUAUAGGAACACAUUACCACUGGAUACCAGUAUACCCAGGAUCUUAAUUUAAUUAAUAAAAUGCUGCGGAAGGGAAGAAUUCUAUUACACUUUUCAACAACUUACUUGCUUCCUAUAAUUAUCUCCUAAAAAACAGUAAUUUUAUACCAUGCAGUCCAGAGACCGGUGUCACUGAAUAAGCCACCUUAUACCAUCUGAAGUAAAGGCCACCCACGUAAACAUAACAAAAUGAUAAACAGGUGGAAAGGGGAGGGAAGGAUAACAUAAAAGAAAGUCUGUUUCAGCUAAUAAUCUGAAUAUUAAAGUAUUUGUUCUGAAAUUA